rnacentral:rRNA from 1 species
ACACGUGGUAUCCUGUCUGAAUAUGGGGGGACCAUCCUCCAAGGCUAAAUACUCCUGACUGACCGAUAGUGAACCAGUACCGUGAGGGAAAGGCGAAAAGAACCCCGGCGAGGGGAGUGAAAAAGAACCUGAAACCGUGUACGUACAAGCAGUGGGAGCACCCUUUGGGGUGUGACUGCGUACCUUUUGUAUAAUGGGUCAGCGACUUAUAUUCUGUAGCAAGGUUAACCGAAUAGGGGAGCCGGAGGGAAACCGAGUCUUAACCGGGCGUUAAGUUGCAGGGUAUAGACCCGAAACCCGGUGAUCUAGCCAUGGGCAGGUUGAAGGUUGGGUAACACUAACUGGAGGACCGAACCGACUAAUGUUGAAAAAUUAGCGGAUGACCUGUGGCUGGGGGUGAAAGGCCAAUCAAACCGGGAGAUAGCUGGUUCUCCCCGAAAGCUAUUUAGGUAGCGCCUCGUGAAUUCAUCUCCGGGGGUAGAGCACUGUUUCGGCUAGGGGGCCAUCCCGGCUUACCAACCCGAUGCAAACUGCGAAUACCGGAGAAUGUUAUCACGGGAGACACACGGCGGGUGCUAACGUCCGUCGUGAAGAGGGAAACAACCCAGACCGCCAGCUAAGGUCCCAAAGUCAUGGUUAAGUGGGAAACGAUGUGGGAAGGCCCAGACAGCCAGGAUGUUGGCUUAGAAGCAGCCAUCAUUUAAAGAAAGCGUAAUAGCUCACUGGUCGAGUCGGCCUGCGCGGAAGAUGUAACGGGGCUAAACCAUGCACCGAAGCUGCGGCAGCGACGCUGAUGCGUUGUUGGGUAGGGGAGCGUUCUGUAAGCCUGCGAAGGUGGCCUGUGAGGGUUGCUGGAGGUAUCAGAAGUGCGAAUGCUGACAUAAGUAACGAUAAAGCGGGUGAAAAGCCCGCUCGCCGGAAGACCAAGGGUUCCUGUCCAACGUUAAUCGGGGCAGGGUGAGUCGACCCCUAAGGCGAGGCCGAAAGGCGUAGUCGAUGGGAAACGGGUUAAUAUUCCCGUACUUGGUGUUACUGCGAAGGGGGGACGGAGAAGGCUAUGUUGGCCGGGCGACGGUUGUCCCGGUUUAAGCGUGUAGGUGUGUGUUCCAGGUAAAUCCGGUU